rnacentral:rRNA from 1 species
UACGUAGGGUGCAAGCGUUGUCCGGAAUUAUUGGGCGUAAAGAGCUCGUAGGCGGUUUGUCACGUCGGAUGUGAAAACCCGAGGCUUAACCUCGGGCCUGCAUUCGAUACGGGCUGACUAGAGUUCGGUAGGGGAGACUGGAAUUCCUGGUGUAGCGGUGAAAUGCGCAGAUAUCAGGAGGAACACCGGUGGCGAAGGCGGGUCUCUGGGCAAUAACUGACGCUGAGGAGCGAAAGCGUGGGGAGCGAACAGG